rnacentral:pre_miRNA from 1 species
GGGGGGAGGCCGGAUCCUGGGCUGCGUCCCCGGUGCCUUGUGCUCCUGGCCUGCGCUGUUGGAAUCGCGCUCCAGGCCAGGCAGCUCCCU